CAAGUCGAGCGGGCAUAGCAAUAUGUCAGCGGCAGACGGGUGAGUAACGCGUGGGAACAUACCUUUUGGUUCGGAACAACACAGGGAAACUUGUGCUAAUACCGGAUAAGCCCUUACGGGGAAAGAUUUAUCGCCGAAAGAUUGGCCCGCGUCUGAUUAGCUAGUUGGUGAGGUAAUGGCUCACCAAGGCGACGAUCAGUAGCUGGUCUGAGAGGAUGAUCAGCCACAUUGGGACUGAGACACGGCCCAAACUCCUACGGGAGGCAGCAGUGGGGAAUAUUGGACAAUGGGCGCAAGCCUGAUCCAGCCAUGCCGCGUGAGUGAUGAAGGCCCUAGGGUUGUAAAGCUCUUUUGUGCGGGAAGAUAAUGACGGUACCGCAAGAAUAAGCCCCGGCUAACUUCGUGCCAGCAGCCGCGGU
rnacentral:rRNA from 1 species